rnacentral:tRNA from 1 species
GCCCUUGUAGCGCAAUGGAUAGCGCGUUAGACUUCUAAUCUAAAGGUCGUGGGUUCAAUUACCACCUGGGAUG